rnacentral:misc_RNA from 1 species
GCGACUCGCGCGCGGACGGAGGUGCGCCGGUGCUCCGCGGUGACUGUGACCGUAGCGGCGCUCCGUCGGGCCGCGCGGCCGUAGCGCUCCUCCCGAAACAUGGCGUACCGCACGCAGCGCGCCCACCACCCGUACGAGGAGAUCGAGUACGAGGAGAACCCUUACGCUGGCCGGCCGGGGCCCAGCCGGAACGGGUAUGGGCCGCGGCAGGAGAAGACCUACGACUUCCUGCCCAUCCAGCGGCCGGCCAACGCCAAGAGAAACGGUACCGGCGAGAUGGUCAGCCGUCGGCGCAUCCUCAGCCGGUCGCGGGACGACCUGAACCUGGAGUCGUACCAGGAGGAGGAGGACGACGUCUGGUACAAGAAGGAAAAACUCUACAGCGACCACAUCAGGGAGGUGCUCUCCAAAUGGGACUCGAUCGACGACGAGAUCUGGGCCAAGAUUAUCGUGUUCGAGAGGAACCGACGUGUGGCCAAGGCCUACGCCCGCGUCGGCGUGCUCACCAUCCACGGCUCCGACGUCGGCUUCGACGGCAGCAAGAUCGGCCUGGGUGGCUUCGAGAACCCGCUGCGUGACCCCAAGGUCGAGGACGUCAAGCGGUACAUCGGAGGGGGUGUGAAAGUGAAAAUGGACAACGAGGGCAACAUGAUGGUGAAGCGGCUGGCCAAGUCCAACGUCUUCGUUCGCUACUCCAACGGCGAGAACGCAGUAGGCUCAGACAUUCUGAAGCUUCCUCAGGCAGCUCUGGAGGCCAACAAAGGACUGACACUGUUCGACCUGAAGAAGUUCCAGCAGAACGUGAACCGGGAGCUGAAGCGGCAGUACCCGGACCGUACGCGGCUCGAGACACAGUGCAUGACCUCGCUGGCGUUCGUCAAGAACGACGACGACCUUCUCAACUGCCCCUGCUGGGUGCUCAUUAUCAACAUCGUGGCGCUCGACAUGCUCAAGGGAAAGCUGAUGCCUGGUCUCCGCACAGCGGCGAUUCCUCCAGGCAUGCCCGCGGUGCGCGGCUCGAUCGCCAUCCCGGACGAGGACCCGUACAGCGUGGCCGGCUCGGGCGGCAGCUCCGGCUCGUCCGGCCGCCUCGGCCGCUCCGAGAGGCCACCCAAGCUGCCGCCGCGCGACACGGACCGGCUCGGCCACCGCGACGUGCCCAACCCCGACUACGCCGAGGACACGGACGACCAGGAGCCGGCCACCAGCAGCAGCGGCGGCAGCGGCGGCGGCGGCGGUGGAGGCGGCGGCGGCGGCGGCGGCGGCCUGCGAGCACGGCUCCAUCUCGGCAGGAACAAAAACAAGAAGGAUAGGAAGAAGGGCGACGAGCUCUACUACGGCGGCUUCCAAGCGCGCAUCCCGAACUUCGCCAAGUCGAAGGGCUCCAAGGAUGAGCUGGUGCCGGACGCUGCCGGCGGGCCGCGGGACCCGCGGCUGCCCAUGGACCCGCGGGACCCGCGGCUGACGAUGGACCCGCGGGACCCGCGACUGCCGGUGGACCCGCGCGACAUGCGGGGCUUCCUGCCGCCGCCGCACACCAUGCAGCACCCAGCCAUGUGGCAGCACCGCGGCAACUACGAGGGAGGCAUGGCGGUGGACCAGGAGUGGGAGCUGUAUGCCAGGAGCAAGCGAGAUCGGCCCGUGCAAUGAUUAGCUUAGUCACGCUGCGGCCUGCCGUCUCCGCCUCUCUCUCUCUCUGUUCCGAGGAGCGGACCCGGCCGAGCCGCCGUACGCCAUGUUCUACAACUGGAACGCCGUGCCGAACCGCGUGCCGGCUUCCUUCCAGCAGCGGCGCGCCAUGUACGUCUCGAACUGGCAGUGACGCGCCACGACCGCCGCC